rnacentral:rRNA from 1 species
GACGAACGCUGGCGGCGUGCUUAACACAUGCAAGUCGAACGGAAAGGCCCUGCUUUUGUGGGGUGCUCGAGUGGCGAACGGGUGAGUAGCACGUGAGUAACCUGCCCUUGACUUUGGGAUAACUUCAGGAAACUGGGGCUAAUACCGGAUAGGAGCUCCUGCUGCAUGGUGGGGGUUGGAAAGUUUCGGCGGUUGGGGAUGGACUCGCGGCUUAUCAGCUUGUUGGUGGGGUAGUGGCUUACCAAGGCUUUGACGGGUAGCCGGCCUGAGGGGUGACCGGCCACAUUGGGACUGAGAUACGGCCCAGACUCCUACGGGAGGCAGCAGUGGGGAAUAUUGCACAAUGGGCGGAAGCCUGAUGCAGCAACGCCGCGUGCGGGAUGACGGCCUUCGGGUUGUAAACCGCUUUCGCCUGUGACGAAGCGUGAGUGACGGUAAUGGGUAAAGAAGCACCGGCUAACUACGUG